AAGAUAUGGUAUGGGCAUUUUAUUAAUAUCUCCUUAAAGCAUUCCUAGACUUCAUAAAUGGAUUCCUUAUUUAAUUGGUUAAAAUUUGUGAUAUCAUUUCUCAUUAU